GCUUGCUUCGACAGUACAUAUUCUAAAAUGCAAAUGAUACAGAGGUUAGCAUGGCCCCUGCACAAGGAUGACACGCAACUUCAUGAAACAUUCCAUAUUUUU